rnacentral:rRNA from 1 species
CCAAUAUCGUAUAUUAAAGUUGUUGCAGUUAAAAAGCUCGUAGUUGAAUUUCGGGAUCAAUAUGUCGGUCGUGCCUUCGGUACGCACUGGUAUCAUUGGUUUCUCCUUUCUGACGAACCAUGAUGUCAUUAAUUUGGUGUUAUGGGGAGUUAGGACUGUUACUUUGAAAAAAUUAGAGUGUUUAAAGCAGGCUUUAGCUUGAAUACAUUAGCAUGGAAUAAUGAAAUAGGACGUUCGAACCUAUUUUGUUGGUUUCUAGGAUCAACGUAAUGAUUAAUAGAGAUAGUUGGGGGCAUUAGUAUUCAAUUGUCAGAGGUGAAAUUCUUGGAUUUAUUGAAGACUAAAUACUGCGAAAGCAUUUGCCAAGGAUGUUUUCAUUAAUCAAGAACGAAAUUUAGGGGAUCGAAGACGAUCAGAUACCGUCGUAGUCUUAACCAUAAACUAUGCCGACUAGGGAUCGGAUGAUGUUAAUUUUUUAAUGACUCAUUCGGCGCCUUACG